rfam:Nelumbo nucifera unplaced genomic scaffold scaffold00035, whole genome shotgun sequence
GGCCUAUUAGCUCUGUUGGUUAGAGCGUCGUGCUAAUAACGCAAAGGUCAUAGGCUUGAGACCUGCAUGGGCCA